CAAUAUUUCAAUAGUUUCCAUCACAUGCAUUAGGUAGUGUAACUUAUGAUCAGGUUUCAAGGCUCAUAGCUCCUCUUGCCUACAGUGCGCAGUUUGCUGCACUUAUGGUGUGCGCUCUACGUUUAGGGUGUGAACCGGUAUCUGGUCUAGUAGCUGUAGGGGGUAUUUUGACAGUCUUUAUGUAUCAGUUUGUUUUUUUUCCACAGAUAAUGUAACAUUAGUCGGUCUGGUAACGAACAUUUGGUCUGAAAGAACAAUGUUGCGCAGACAAGGCUUUACUCUCGCUACCUGAUAGACCCGUCCUUGGGUUCCUUCUGUUAUACCCUCGAGCAAUCGUGGCUAAUGCCUGCAGUUAUAUUGCGCUUGUACGUAACUAGGUCGGAAUCCCGGGUCCUUACGGCGAUUGCCGCCUCGGGCUCCAA